GAGCAAUGCCGCGUGAGUGAUGAAGGUUUUCGGAUCGUAAAGCUCUGUUGCCAGGGAAGAACGCUUGGGAGAGUAACUGCUCUCAAGGUGACGGUACCUGAGAAGAAAGCCCCGGCUAACUACGUGCCAGCAGCCGCGGUAAUACGUAGGGGGCAAGCGUUGUCCGGAAUUAUUGGGCGUAAAGCGCGCGCAGGCGGUCAUUUAAGUCUGGUGUUUAAUCCCGGGGCUCAACCCCGGAUCGCACUGGAAACUGGGUGACUUGAGUGCAGAAGAGGAGAGUGGAAUUCCACGUGUAGCGGUGAAAUGCGUAGAUAUGUGGAGGAACACCAGUGGCGAAGGCGACUCUCUGGGCUGUAACUGACGCUGAGGCGCGAAAGCGUGGGGAGCAAACAGGAUUAGAUACCCUG
rnacentral:rRNA from 1 species